ensembl:lncRNA
GUCCCUGGGGACCUAGGAUGGAAGCAGAGAUGAUCAUAGCAUUGGCUGUCUCUUGGAGCUGAGAAGUGUGGGAUGAGGAGGAGGAUACAUCUUUUGGGUAAGGGCUAGUCUGGGCUUCCUUUUGCAUGUCAGCCUCAUGAUGAUUGAAGUUUUCAAGAGAGAAUAUUCCAGUUGACAAGUCAGAAGUUUCAUUACCUUAUGUGACCUACACACCGUCACUGCCACCUUGUUCUAAUGGUUAGAAGCAAGUCACAAGCCCACACAGAUUCAAGGAGAUGAGACAGAUAACCCAUCUUUCAAUGGGAAUAGCACCAUGAUCACAAUGCAAAAAGGCAAGUGGGAUGGGAGAUAUUAUGGUCAUCUUUGGAAUAUAUAGACUGCUACACUUUCUCUCCAUAGUUAGGAAAUUUCAACUCUUCUGGGCUCAAAAAUGUAUAAGUCGGCAUACUGAAUUUAAAACCUCUUGUGGGAGGGUGUUUUUAAAAAUGAAAUCAGUCUGUCUUCUGCUUUCAUGGAGGAAACAUAUCUUCCUAUAUAAUUCUUUUUUUUCCAUAAAGAUUGGCACCUGAGCUAACAUCUGCUGCCAAUCUUCUUUUUUUUAUUUCUUCUUCUUUUCCCCAAAGCCCCCCAGUAGAUAGUUGUAUAUUCCAAUUGUAGGUCCCCCUGGUUGUGCUAUUUGGGACGCCACCUCAGCAUGGCUUGAUGAGCAGUACGGGGUCUGCUCCCAGGAUCUGAACCGGCACAACCCUGCACCUCCAAAAUGGAGUGCACGAACUUAACCACUCAGCCAUAGGGCUGGCCCCUAUAAUUCUUAAAAAUCUCUGAAAGCUGGGCUCCAGAUUUUUCUCUGGGAAAUGCCUCGAGAGGAGAUUUUACUGUGAAGAAAAGAGCACUAGAAUGAUAUUCAUAAGCUCUGGGGUUAUACUCUAUCCUUGCCACUACCUUUGGCUGCUGAAUCUCAGUUUAACUCUCUGUAAAAUGGAAAUACUAUUUCUCCUAUGCACCCUAUAGCUUUAUGUUGAGGAGCAAAUGAAGUUGUUAGUAUGAGAACACGGUAAGUGAUAAAAUGCCACAUAAAAAUAAGAUAUUUUUGUUGUUUUCCUAAAGAAUUUUAAUGUUUUACUGUCCUUAGGGUUGAGAAAGCUCUUCCUAAUAUCAGACUUAAAUGUAUUCAUUUGCCACGGCUCUCUGUAACCAACCAACUUGAAAUUGGUUGUGCUUAUUUCCCUCUGGUGAAAUGGUGACAGUCAUGUGCAGAGGUUUAGAUAUGUUACUGCUGUCGUUUUCACAGUAUUGCCACCAUAUAAUUUGAUUUGUAUUCUGUGCAUCACAUAAGCCUUUUGCUCAACUAGCAAAGUUCUGAGCUUCUAGCUUCUAGCAUUAUUACUCAAGAAUCCCUAAAUCAUUUUCCUGAUCAUUGCAUUCCUACCACUUAAUAUGGUUAUCUGUUUUGGUUCAUUGUCUCCAGACUUACUAUUUUACAUUUGUCUACAUUAAACUGCAUUCUCAGUUUAUUGGUCCAGUCACCAUGAGGUGCCAAUCCAUCUGAAUCAU